AACACCCUCAAAAAAGGUGGUGGGUCAGAUUAAAUUCCAAAGGUGCAUGUCUUUCUAACUUUUCUAGGCUUUUGCAUUGGGGUUAUACCACUUCCUUGGCAUCUAAUACCUUGGUAUUCGAAAAUUAUUACUUUGAUUCAUACCAGAAACAAUUACCAUGGCUGAAUCCUUUGCAUUCGAGAUCGCCGGAAAAGUAUUGGAGAAACUAGGGAGUGCUGCCUAUGAAAGAAUUAACUUGGCAUGGGGUGUUCGAGAGGAGUUUGAAAAGCUUAAGCUGACCCUAGCUGCUAUCAGAGCUGUGGUCCUGGAUGCUGAACAACAACAGGCUCGUACCCAGGAGCUCAGUCUUUGGCUACAAAGGUUCAAAGAUGCUUGCUACAACGUGGAAGAUUUGAUAGACGAGUUCGAGAUCCAAGCGUUGAGGAAGCUAGUCCUGGAACGGGGAAGCACUGGAAGGAAGGUACGCCAUUUCUUUUCUGGCUCUAAUCCUUGGGCAUUUAGCUUUAGGAUGGGCUAUAAGAUCAAAAAGGCUAACGAGAUGUUGAAUAAGAUUGCAGCUGAAAAGGCCAAGUUUCAUCUGACUGAAAAACAUGAAACUAAUGUCAUACAUCGUGAGAGGGAAACCUACUCCUUUGUUAAGACAUCUAGUGUCAUCGGUCGAGAUGAAGCUAAACAACACCUAGUUAACUUCUUAAUGAAUCCAACUGAUGGGGAAGAUCUCCCUGUCCUUCCCAUAGUUGGGAUCGGAGGUAUUGGGAAAACUACCCUGGCCCAAUUGGUGUUUAACGAGGAGAGUGUGAAGUCGCAUUUUGAAUUGAGAAUCUGGGUGUGUGUUACAGAGGAUUUUGACAUGAAACAACUGAUGAUAAAAAUCAUUAAAUCUGCCACUGGUAUGAACUGCAAGGACAUGAAUAAGGAGGAAUUACAUAAAGUUUUGCAAGAUUGUUUGAAUGGUAAAAGAUUUUUUAUGGUACUAGAUGAUGUCUGGAACGAGGACAAGAAGAAAUGGAGUGAGCUGAAAGAUUUGUUGUGUGGGGGAGCCCAAGGGAGUAGAAUCAUUGUCACAACUCGUAGCCGCAAAGUGGCUACAAUCACAGGCACAAUCCCUCCAUACGAUUUAGAGCAUCUUUCUUACGACAGUUGUCUAUCAUUGUUUCUUAAACUUGCAUUUAAAGAAGGUGAAGAGAAACAACAUGACAAUCUUGUAAGAAUCGGGGAAGGAAUUGUUCAAAAAUGCAAAGGGGUUGCUUUGGCCGUGAAGACUUUAGGCAGCCUACUCUGUUCAACUAGGGUACAACAUGAUUGGGAACUUGUGAGAGAUAGUGAGCUAUGGAAGUUGAAGCAGGAGGAAAAUGACAUCUUGCCUGCUCUAAAACUAAGUUAUGAUCAUUUGCCCUGGUAUUUAAAGCAAUGUUUCGCCUUUUGUUCAGUUUUUCCAAAAGAUUUUGAAUUCAAUCCUCUCUAUUUGAUCCCGUUGUGGAUGGCAAAUGGCUUUUUGCAAUCACCAUACGAAAAUGAAGAGCCAGAAGAUAUUGGGAAUCGGUAUAUACAAGAGUUACUAUCAAGAUCUUUCUUCCAACAAGUUGAAGAUAAGUUUUUAACUUUCACCUUCAAAAUGCAUGAUCUAGUACAUGAUCUUGCAUUAUCAGUAGUGCAAAAUGAGGUGAAUUCAUGUAACCAUUAUUCAACUGGGAAUGUUCGACAUUUAUUGUUUGAUCUAUUGAAGCAAGAUGGUUCGCAGUUACCGAAUAACUUGAGCUGUCUGCAAUCACUUUUCUUAUUAGAUGAAGAAGGCAAGGCUGAUAGCGAAUCUCUUAUUGCCAAAGUCAUCUCAAGGUCUAAACAUUUGAGGGUGCUACAUAUGUCUGGCUGCAGUUUUGAGCAUUUGCCAAACAAUAUACGUUAUUUAAAGCAGUUGAGAUAUUUGAACCUGGCCUACAAUGGAAAUAUAAAGAGACUUCCAAAUUCCAUUUGCAAUUUGCAGAGUUUGGAAAUACUUGACCUCGGUGGAUGUACGAGAAUUGAAGAGUUACCAAAAGACAUAAGGUACCUGAUUAGCCUUAGAAAAUUAAUGGUAACAACAAAACAGACACGUUUGCAAGAGAAUGGUAUAUGUUGCCUAAGUACUCUUCGGAUUUUGGCCUUCUUUGAAUGUGAAAAUUUAGAAAAGUUGUGUGAAGACAUUCAAAACCUAACAGCCCUCCGAGAAUUGUACAUCGAAGAAUGCAACAACUUGGUUUCAUUGCCACAAGGUUUAAAAUACCUAACUACAUUAGAAAAUUUGGCAAUUGUAAAUUGUGAAAAGCUUGAUCUCACUAUGGAGGAGUUGGAACUUGAGAGGAAAGAAGAUGGUAGCCUUCGAAAAUUGUGGAUUGGAGGAGUGCCAAAGCUGGAGUCACUACCCCAAUGGAUCCUUCUAGGAUCCACCAAAACUUUGCAGCACUUGUAUAUUGGAGAAUUGGAGAAUGUCUCGAGGUUACCAACGUGGUUCCAAGAUCUCACAUCCCUUCAAAGUCUAUACAUUAAAAAUUGCCCAAAGCUGUCGUCUCUGGCAGAAGGGAUGCAACACCUCACUGCACUCAAAAGACUAAUGAUUGGAGGGUGUCCAAAAUUAAGCAAAAGAUGCAUUGAAGAAACCGGUGAAGACUGGCCUAAGAUUGCUCAUGUCGUUGACAUUAUUGUGGAGUCAUGAAGGCCUCAAUAACAUAUGAUGAAAACAUAAUGUAAGUCACCAAACACUAAUCUAUUUGAUACAUAUAUCUUAUUAACUUUUUAAAUGUUAAUAUUUCUAAAUUAAAUUAGGCUCCAAAUACUACUUUAUUUCUCAUUAAGAUAAUUGAAUUUUAUCUACUCUAAAGCAAAUAAAACUUCACUCAUAAUUAGUAUUAAAAUUUUACUCAAAAUGUUAGUAAAAAUAUUAUCAGUUAGAACUUGAGAAGAAAGAAGAUGGUAGCCUUCGGAAUUUGUGGAUUGGAGGAGUGUCAAAGCUGGAGUCACUACCCCAAUGGAUUCUUCUAGGAUCAACCAAAACUUUGCAGCGCUUGUACAUCGGUAACUUGGAGAAUGUCUCGACGUUACCAAUGUGGUUCCAACAUCUCACAUCCCUUCAAAGUCUUAACAUUAUAAAUUGCUCAAAGUUGUUGUCUCUACCAGAAGGGAUGCAACACCUCACUGCAAUCAAAAAAUUAAGGAUCGAAGGGUGUCCAAAAUUAAGUAAAAGAUGCAUUGAAGAAAGUGAAGACUGCCUAAGAUUGCUCAUGUCCCUAAGAUUUUUGGAAGAAACAGAUGAUAUAAGGUAAGUCAUCGAACACUACUCUAUUUUAUAUAUAUCUUAUUAGCUUUUAAAUUUAAUAUUUCUAAAUUAAAUUAUGUACCAAAUAUUACUCUAUUUUUCAUUACCAUAAUUGAAUUUUAUUUACUCGAAAGCAAAUAAAUCUUCAUUUAAAAAAUUGGCAUUACAAAUUUACUUAAAAUAUUACUUCCAAUUUACAUCUCAUCCUUUUAAAUGAUAAAAGUUGAAGAAAAAAUAGUACAACGCCUCAAUUUAAUGUUAUGGUAGAGUUUUUCUAACUGAACUUUUGUAUCUUUUAAGGUGGAUCAAUUAGGACUGAAAUAUAGCAUCCGGUCGAGCUCUUCUUUAGUGCCAAUGUUGAAGUUGGCCUCCAUGCAAACAAAGAAGCAAGGAAGCUGUCCGAGCCUUGCAGGUGCAGCUGAAGCUCAUGCUGCUGUUGUGUUUCAUUUUGUUUUUUGUUACUUCAAUUGAUGUUUUGUAACUUAGUUAGAUAUGAACUAAGUUGUUAAUGUACUUGAUGUAAUUUGUUGAUGUUUGAGCUGAUAAAUCAGCUUUACCAAGUGUGCAAGUUUUGGUUAAAAAUCAUUAAAUCUGCCACCGGCAGAGAGUGCAAGGACAUGAAUAAGGAGGAAUUACAUAAAGUUUUACAAGAUUGUUUGAAUGCUAAAAGAAUUUUUAUGGUCCUGGAUAAUGUCUGGAACGAGGACAAGAAGAAAUGGAGUGAGCUGAAAGAUUUGUUGUGUGGGGGAGCCCAAGGGAGUAGAAUCAUUGUCACAACUCGUAGCCGCAAAGUGGCUACAAUCACAGGCACAAUCCCUCCAUACGAUUUAGAGCAUCUUUCUUAUGACGAUUGUCUAUCAUUGUUUCUUAAACUAUUACAACCUACAUACCUGGUUUUUUUUAAAGAAAAACAUCCAGCUUCCCAAAUUCUUUUCAGCACCUUCACAAAAUGUUAGCCCACAAUUAUUUACCCCCCACAGCUUACAUGAUAAGCUGUACCACCAUCAACACGUUGGAACUCGAUGUCUACCUUUUCCGCUUGGACUUCAAGGAGGUGACCGACUGGGAAUUGCUGUGCCAAUUGCGCUUCCUUUGGUUGAUGAACCAGUUGUUGAUUUGCUUUAGUUGCAAUCCAGUUUCCUCCACAAGUUUGGCCUUGUCAUCUUCCUGCAUUUUGUCAACUCAUUAAUUUAUUCAAGGGUUUAUGUUUUGGCAAAAAUAUAUAUAUAUAUUUAAUUGGAAGUUGAUGUUUAGUUGGUUACAGUUGGGUAUGGCCACUUUGAAUAGUCAAUCUGUUUUUUUAGUUCCAACAGGCAAGAUAAUAAUUAUGAAUUGUCAUUGACUCCUCCAACUUGGGUCGAAAAAACAAUGCGACUUGAUAAUUAUCAAAUUGACCGUAAUCUUCUUUUGUCCUUAGGAGUCCAUCACAAUCUUAAAUGCUUUCUUAUAUAUGUUAAAAUUAGUUUUUGAAUUGUUUGGUUUCCAAUGUUUAUUGGUAAUCUGAUUUUGUAUUAGAGACAAUGAUGUAAUAAUUUGAUUUUUUUAUGUGUACGAGUGUAAUCAUCUCUAAUUUGCUAUGACUAAAAGGAAAGUUCAAAGGUUUUAAUUUAGGUUAAAAUAUGGCUAACUGCUUCUAAUACCCGUAAACUAUAUUAUGGUUGAGCUUUAUUUGCAAUGGGUGUUUAAUCAUGGACUUAAAAGUUCAAAGUUCAAAGGAGAGGAUUUAUUAAACCAAAACAGGUUUUUAGCGGCAUUUUUUAGAAGCGUCGCUAAUGCUCGAGUCUUUAGCGGUGCUUUGUCAAAAAUGCCGCUAAAGCUCAGGUCUUUAACGGCGCUUUUUCAAAAACGCUGCUAAUGCUCGUGUCUUUAGCGGCGCUAAUCCCAAAUUGAUCCUCCAUGCCAAAAUGAGCGGAAAUGAGUUUAAAAGAUGUCCAAAACAUUAACAUUUAAACAUUUGUUAAGAAUUUUUCUUUUGUUUUCAAUAUAAAUGGCUUAAAAAAUGAAAAAAAGUCUUAAACUUUGUUUGAUUAAAAAUUUUUGUAUAUAAAAAGGAACAUCUUUAAAUUUAUGUGGAUGGUUUUUAUUUAGUUUCAUUAAUAUGGGGAGAUUAAAGAUUGGUGGAGAUUUUACCUAACAAAUUAUUAUAGAAAGAGAGAAUAUGGAUUUAACUCCUUUUGAGAAUCCAUUCCCCAAUGAGUUGUAUGGUGUAUCAAUUACGCAUGUAUGAAUAUAUUUUCCUUCCACCAUGUGCUGCCACGAAACUUAGAGCCAAUAUUGUGGAUUCCCGGAGAAUUAGAAGAUAAAAGAAAACCUAUGGGAGAUUCCUGUAAGGGUUACUGGUUUAAGAUUGGUUUUGGAUUUUGCAGGAAAGAUAUGCUGCAUCAAUUACACAUGUGGAUUUAAUACAAGUUGGAUCAUUUUCCUCAUCAGCUAACAUUUUCUUAUGCUAGUUUAGAUCCAAAUCCACACACCCAAUUUUGAUUUGCGCUUCCAUCAAACUAAUUCUUUUUACUGUAAAAAACAUAUUAUUUCAGUAAUAAAUGUUGAAUCAACCUUAUUUUAAUAAUAAAUUAUUUUAUUCCUUUUACUAUAGUAUUUUUUUCCCAUCAUGUUGAUUUAGGUAUAGUUUGGAUAGACAUUGCAUUUACUUGUGUUUAGUAUAAAAACAACAGUGACGAUAAAAUUAGAUAAAAGUGAACUAAUUGCACCGCACUAGCCAUCCAAAUCCAAGUAUCAUACUCUUCUUUUAGUUUUUUUUAAACCCUAAAUAAGAAAGACAACCUCAUUUAGCGAAGUCAUUAACCCCUUUCUUAAAUUUCCAUAAUAAAACUCGUACCCUAUUCAAAAACCCUAUUUUAACAAAAUUCAACUAUCUUUGAAUUAUUCGUAACUCUAUAUUUGUAAUACAGACAUGGUGAUCAGUUAGACCUUUAAUUACUUAACAUACUUUUUUUUUAUUGACUCCUUUAAUUUUAAUUUAAUAAUUUUAUAAUUUAAUCUAAAGAGGUCAAAUUCGAAUUAUUGUUUUGAUAUAAUUUUUAAUUUAACAAGAGCUAAAUCAUACUUUAUAGGAUUUGAACCUUGGACGAUAGGUUUUGAAGACCCACAUGCUACCGAACUAAACUAAUAUCACUUUCUUAUCAUAAUAAAUAAAAUUGUAAAAAAAAUCCUUUUAUUUUAUAACCCUAAUACAAUACAUUGUAUGUUGUAUAUAUAUAAUAUGAGAAAAUGAUAGAUUGAGCAAAAUUGCAUCAUAGGUUGUGUUCAAAAUUCAAAUUCUUUUUGGUUUAGAGGGUUUUAUGUUUGGUUAGUGAUAAGUUUUUUCUUUCGCAUGUGAUUUAUCUUUUCGAUACGUAGGGUGAAGGAUUUAAAUUGUGGAAUGGUUGGUUUAUAUAAGCAGCUUAAGGUAAGAAAAGAAAAGCAAGAUAAAAUUUGAAAGAUGAUCCCAUUGUUGACUGAUUCAUUUACUGCGAGCUUCUCCCUCGAAUUGUAGCGACACUGAUGUACAAAAUAUUUCAAAGAUGUACAAAUUUUUCGAGCUUAAAAACUACAUUGAGUGUAUUUUCAUAGGAGUUCAGUUGAUUUAAAAACUACAUUAAAUGGUUUAGGAUUUAAGGUUUACUUCAGAUUUAUUAAAUGAUGAAAUUUUAUACAAUAAAUUUAUACUUUUAUAUUUAAAAAUAUUUAAUCUAAAACAUUCGAUAUAUUUAAAUAUUAGAUUUAAAAAAAUUGAUAAAUAAAUAAAGUCACUUAACUAAUAAUUUUUAGUAGAUAAAAUAAAAAAAAUUUAACAGAACAAAACGACGUUAUUUUAUUCAAAAUAAAAUAAUUUUUGCGGUAUUUUUACAAAAAACGCCGCAAUAGAUAAGUAAUAAUGGCGUUUUUUGUAAAAACGUCACAAAAUUUAUUUUACCUAGAUAAAAAAUUGGCGCUGCUUUUUCCCAAAUUUCCCCCCUAAAACCCCUAACUUUGCAAACAAAAUGAAAAAAAGAAGAGGAAAAUGGAGGUACCAAAGACGAUUCAGCACAAAACCUCUCCAAUCUACUUACGAGUUCUACCGUUUGUUUCCCUGAAAAAUAUAUGAGACUUAAUAUUUUCUGUUCCAUUUUUCCUCUUUAUUUUCUAAUUUUGGGUAUUAUUUACUCAGAUCCCCUUUCUUUUUAUUAUUGUUUUUUUUCUCUUAUAUUUUAGCUAGAAAUCGAUGAUGCAAGUUACUGUUGGUCUCAUUGCUGCUGGUAACAAGUUAUUGCUUAAAAUUCAUGGUAACAAAUCUACUUCAAAGGAAGUUAUUCAUAUUCCUUCGUAUCGAAGCGAAGUCAUUUACGGUGGUACUUGGUUCUCCAGCUCUCGUAAGUUUGUUCCCAGUUUUGUAUUUGCCAUCUAUACCAGGUUUACCUCUCUUACUUCUCUUCGUCUUCAUCUCCCUUUCAUUUAUUCGAUAUAAUGCUUCUUUAUACAAUUUGUUUCUGGUUUUCAGGGGGUGUUGUCUGUAAGAUGUUGAAGCAAGCGAUAUGGAAGGUGUUGAGCAAAAGGGUAGUUUCAGAUUCGGGUGAUAAACUUCUUUUGCCUUGUUUGUACUUGCCCACGCUAAAAAACGCCGCCAAAAGCUUAAAAAAGUGCCGCUAAAAGCCUUUUUUGGUGUAGUGAUUCUUUUACGGGCAGAAAAAAAGAAUCCCUCAUGCUUAGGGCUAAGAUUGGAAGGACCAAAUCUGAAUACAAGCAACACCUAAGUUUACAAUUAGAUAAAUGCAUUAAAAAGGUUUACUUAAAAAUGUUGUUAAAUUUUGGGUUCAAAUUAAAUAAAAGAAUGAAAUGGACUAAAAAUUUCUCAUGUUUUAGCAUCUUCACUUUAGGUAACUCUCUUAGAGGAGGGAAAUUUUGUUUAGGGUACAUAUUGUUUAAUAAUAGACAUCAAAAGUGAACUAUAAAAUUUUUCUCAGAUAUUUUCUAGGUAAUGUGUCCUUAUUUAUUUUAUAUGAUUAAAAAGUUAACAAAAUCUAGAUUCUUGUGCUCUAAGUGAUUCUCGAUUUAAUGUUUUAAUAAUAUUCAUUUAUAUAGAUUAAUAGUAGAACUAUGCUUUUAACAAGUUCAGAUUAUACUUGUUGAGCAAGAGUCGCUCAUUCUUUUAUCCCCUUUUUCCUUUCAAAUAUACAGUGGAGAAGUUUGGUAUUUUAGAAGUUGGAAUGUAAUAGUAUGUGUCGGAAAUGAUAGUUUCAGAACCUCAUUUCCAAUGAUCAAGUUCGUAAAUAUUAUUAUUUAAUAUUUAUGAGGUUAGUAUAGAGGUUAAUUGGAAAUUAGUCUUUCAAUUUUGUCAAUCGAAUAGUUAAUUAAAGUAUAAGGAUUAAAUUCUAAAAGUAAUAAAAGUUAAUCGUUAUAAAUUUUUAGUUAACCGAAUGACCAAUUAAACAAUUGGGUAUUUUUAAAUGAUUUAAAUAAUUAAAUAUAAAUUCUUAUGAUCAUAAAAAAGCAAUUCAAAAAUAAUAUUGUAACAUAAAAUAGAUAAAAAAAUUUAUAAUUUAAAUAAAUAAAUGUCAUGUUAUCUUUAUUCCAUAUAUUUAUAAAUUUGAUUGAUUUAAUUUAAUUGAAGUAAAUAUAAAAUUGAAUUAAAAUUGAAUAUAUAUUAACUAAUUAAAUUCAUAAAUUUGAUUAAUUAAAUUAAAUUAAAUAUAAAAAAUUAAAAGUGAAGGUAUAUUAAAUAUGUAUUAAUUUUUUGUCUUUGAUCCCACCCAAAUUUCAAUUAAAUAAUUUUUAAUAUAUUUUCAUUUAAAUUUAAUUAUAAAAUAUUGAUAAUAAUAUAAAAUUAAAUAUUUAUUUUUUAAUAUUUUAAAUUAUUAAAAAUCAAAUAAUGGAACAAAAUUUUUUUUUAACAAAGAUUAUACCAUUAUUUUACUAUUAGCUAAAAUGUGGUAAAUAAUAUAUUUGCUUUAUUGCAUUUCUUAAUACCAUUUAUUAUUGAAAUUUAAUUAUAGAAAUGAGACUCAUUUUAAAUAUAAUUAAAAAAUAUUUUAAGUUUAGUUUCUUCUUUUAUAUUAUAUAUACAAUAUAUUAUUUUUAUUUAUAUAAAAAAUUAAAAAUUAAUUAUUAUCUUGACAUUUUGGAUUUGUCGGCUUGUAAUUUCAAGCACCAGUCCUGAUUCCCAUAGUUGACAUUAUUUUCCAGUCUAAAGCUGCAAGAACUGCCCUCCUUGGCAUCUAAUACCGUGGUAUCCGAAAAGUAUUACUAAAAUUCAUACCAAAAACAAUUACCAUGGCUGAAUCCUUUGCAUUCGAGAUAGCCGGAAAAGUAUUGGAGAAACUAGGGAGUGCUGCCUGUGAAAGAAUUAGCUUGGCAUGGGGUGUUCGAGAGGAGUUUGAAAAGCUUAAGCUGACCCUAGCUGCUAUCAGAUCUGUAGUCUUGGAUGCUGAGCAACAACAGGUUCGUAGCCUGGAGCUCAGUCUUUGGCUACAAAGGUUCAAAGAUGCUUGCUACGACGUGGAAGAUUUGAUAGACGAGUUCGAGAUCCAAGCGUUGAGGGGGCUAGUCCUGGAACGGGGAAGCACUGGAAGGAAGGUACGCCAUUUCUUUUCUGGCUCUAAUCCUUGGGCAUUUAGCUUUAGGAUGGGCUAUAAGAUCAAAAAGGCUAACGAGAUGUUGAAUAAGAUUGCAGCUGAAAAGGCCAAGUUUCAUCUGACUGAAAAACAUGAAACUAAUGUCAUACAUCGUGAGAGGGAAACCUACUUCUUUGUUAAGACAUCUAGUGUCAUCGGUCGAGAUGAAGCUAAACAACACCUAGUUAACUUCUUAAUGAAUCCAACUGAUGGGGAAGAUAUCCCUGUCCUUCCCACAGUUGGGAUCGGAGGUAUUGGGAAAACUACCCUGGCCCAAUUGGUGUUUAACGAGGAGAGUGUGAAGUCGCAUUUUGAAUUGAGAAUCUAGGUGUUUGUUACAAAGGAUUUUGACAUUAAACAACUGAUGAUAAAAAUCAUUAAAUCUGCCACUGGUAUGAACUGCAAGGACAUGAAUAAGGAGGAAUUACAUAGAGUUUUGCAAGAUUGUUUGAAUGGUAAAAGAUUUUUUAUGGUACUAGAUGAUGUCUGGAACGAGGACAAGAAGAAAUGGAGUGAGCUGAAAGAUUUGUUGUGUGGGGGAGCCCAAGGGAGUAGAAUCAUUAUCACAACUCGUAGCCGCAAAGUGGCUACAAUCACAGGCACAAUCCCUCCAUACGAUUUAGAGCAUCUUUCUUAUGACAAUUGUCUAUCAUUGUUUCUUAAACUUGCCUUUAAAGAAGGUGAAGAGAAACAACAUGACAAUCUUGUAAGAAUCGGGGAAGGAAUUGUUCAAAAAUGCAAAGGGGUUGCUUUGGCCGUGAAGACUUUAGGCAGCCUACUCUGUUCAACUAGGGUACAACAUGAUUGGGAACUUGUGAGAGAUAGUGAGCUAUGGAAGUUGAAGCAGGAGGAAAAUGACAUCUUGCCUGCUCUAAAACUAAGUUAUGAUCAUUUGCCCUGGUAUUUAAAGCAAUGUUUCGCCUUUUGUUCAGUUUUUCCAAAAGAUUUUGAAUUCAAUCCUCCCUAUUUGAUCCCGUUGUGGAUGGCAAAUGGCUUUCUGCAAUCACCAUACGAAAAUGAAGAGCCAGAAGAUAUUGGGAAUCGGUAUGUACAAGAGUUACUAUCAAGAUCUUUCUUCCAACAAGUUGAAGAUAAGUUUUUUACUUUCACCUUCAGAAUGCAUGAUCUAGUACAUGAUCUUGCAUUAUCAGUAGUGCAAAAUGAGGAGAAUUCAUGUAACCAUUAUUCGACUGGGAAUGUUCGACAUUUAUGGUUUGAUCUAUCGAAGCAGGAUGCUUCCCAGUUGCCAAAUAACUUGGGUUGUCUGCAAUCACUUUUCUUAUUAGAUGAAAAAGGCAAGGUUGAUAACGAAUCUCUUAUUGCAGAAGUCAUCUCAAGGUCUAAACAUUUGAGGGUGUUAGAUUUGUCUGAUUGUAGUUUAGAGCAAUUGCCAAACAACACAAGUUCUUUAAAGCAGUUGAGAUUUUUGAGCAUAGGCUCCAUUGGAAAUAUUAAAAGACUUCCAAAUUCCAUUUGCAAUUUGCAGAGUUUGCAAACACUUGACUUUUCUGGAUGCAGGGGAAUUGAAGAGUUACCAAAAGACAUAAGGUACCUGAUUAGCCUUAGACAAUUAACGGUAACAACAAAACAGACGCGUUUGCAAGAGAAUGGAAUAUCGUGCCUCACUUGUCUUCGAACGUUGGUCUUUUCUGAAUGUGAAAAUUUAGAAAAAUUGUUUGAAGACAUUCAAAACCUAACAGCUCUUCGAGAAUUGUACAUAUAUGAAUGCCACAACUUGGUUUCAUUGCCACAAGGUUUAAAAUACCUACCUACAUUAGAAGUUUUGAUAAUUUUAGCUUGUGAAAAGCUUGAUCUCACUAUGGAGGAGUUGGAACUUGAGAGGGAAGAAGGACGUGGUAGCCUUAGAAAUUUGUGGAUCGAAGGAGUGCCAAAGCUGGAGUCACUACCCCAAUGGAUCCUUCUAGGAUCCACCAAAACUUUGCAGCGCUUGUGUAUUGGAGAAUUGGAGAAUGUCUCGAGGUUACCAACGUGGUUCCAAGAUCUCACAUCGCUUCAAAGUCUUCUAAUUGCAAAUUGCCCAAAGUUGUUGGUUCUGCCUCAAGGGAUGCACCACCUCACUGCACUCAAAAGAUUAAUUAUUCAAGGGUGUCCAAAAUUAAGCAAAAGAUGCACUGAAGAAACCGGUGAAGACUGGCCUAAGAUUGCUCAUGUCCCUGACUUUUAUUGUGACGAAGCAGAUGACGAAUAGAUAAGGUAAGACACCAAAUACUAUAUAUCAAUAUAUAUAUAUAUACACUCUAUUUUUCACUAACAUAAAUGAAUUUUAUUUAAUCUGAAAUAUAAUGUCUCAAUUUAAUGUUAUGGCAGGGUUCUUCUGAUGGAAUUUAUUUGUCUAUUAAAGUGGAGGAUGUUGAAGUUGUCUUGGAUUGGUUCUUAUAUGUGUCAACGUCUUUGAGUUGUUCAAUUUCCAUUGUUUGUUUGUAAUUUGAUUUGUAUCAAAGACCAUUGAUAUAAUAUAUUUACUUUAUUGUAUUUUGGAACUCAAAGAAUUAAUUCAGAACUCUAUGUUUACAUAUAUAUUUUAGUUCUAUCUUUUAUAUUAUAUAUAUGAUACAUGAUUUUUAUUUUAUAUAAAAGUUUUUAAAAAAUAAUUGUUUUUUUAUAAGUUGACAUCAUUAUCAAUUAAUGUGUUGUUUCAUGUAUUAAUAAUUGUUGCGGAAAGGAUCGAUUCGAGAACUCCGAUAUGACUACAAGUAAAUUGACCGAAACGAAAAAUAAAGUGAACACAAGGAUUUACGUGGUUCGGCUUUAAUGCCUACGUCCACGGGCAGAGGCGAAAAGAAAUUUCACUAUAACAAGAUGAAGAUUACAAGUGUUUUACACUCAAGACACAACCCGAGAACCUCACAACUCUCAACCCCUAUAGAAAACCCGAAAGCUAAAAUCCUAGCUUUCAAAGAACAAGCUUUGCUCUCUCUUGGUUUGGGAUGAUAAAUAUGGCUAAUGAACCUCUCUAUUUAUAAGAGAGUUCAAGGACAUAAUUGUCCAAAACUUUGGCAAAGAUUUGUGGUUGAAAAUGGACACCAACAACCAUCCACUAAUCCACUACCACCAACAACCCACUACCAACAACAACAAUCCACUACCAAUUUUAAGCCAUUUCUUAACAAAUCUCCACCUUGGCUUGAAAUUUACCAAGCUGAACAUCAUAGUGAACUGGAUCACCUCUUCCAAACGCCUCUCUGGCGCUAAUCAAUCCCGAAUACCUAUCAAGUCCAAGCAAUGCUUGAACUUAUAUGCAGGGAUCACCUUAGUUAACAUAUCUGCAGGAUUCUUCUCGGUAGCAACCUUGCUGAUAACAAUGUCACCUUGCGUAACAUGUUCCCGAACAAAAUGAUAUCUGACAUCAAUGUGUUUGGUCCGUUCAUGAAACAUCUGAUUUUUAGUCAGAUGUAUGGCACUCUGGCUAUCGCAAAAUACAACAGUGAAAUCCUGUUGUAAACCCAAACUGCUUACUAGACCUUUCAUCCACAAUGCUUCUUUCACUGCUUCUGCUAACGCCAUAUAUUCCGCCUCAGUCGUAGAUAAGGCUACGGUAGACUGUAACACAGCUUUCCAACUAAUGGCUCCUCCAGAAUAAGUGAAAACAUAACCCGUCAGAGAUCUUCUUUUGUCCAGAUCUCCAGCAUAAUCAGAGUCCGCAUAGCCCGUGACACUGCUAGUGCAGUCACUCUGAUCAUAUACCAAGCAUAAAUCUGCAGAACCUCUCAAGUACCUGAGAAUCCAUUUCACGGCCUGCCAGUGUUCCUUGCCAGGACAACUCAUGUAUCUGCUGACCACACUAACUGCAUGUGAAAUGUCUGGACGAGUGCAAACCAUUGCAUACAUCACGCUUCCAACUGCACUCGAGUAUGGAAUGUGAGACAUUUGCUGCUUUUCUUCAUCAGAUUGUGGUGACAACUCUGCAGAGAGUUUGAAAUGUGGUGCCAACGGAGUACUCACAGUUUUCGCUUUAUCCAUGCCGAAGCGUUGAAGAACCUUUUCAAUGUAGUUCUUCUGCGACACACGAAGCUUGCCCGCCUUGCGAUCUCUGUGAAUAUCCAUGCCCAAAAUUUUCUUGGCAGCACCCAGAUCCUUCAUCUCGAACUCACCACUCAACUGCGACUUUAACUUGUUGAUUUCCGACAUGUUUUUGGAAGCAAUUAACAUGUCAUCAACAUACAGCAACAAAUAAAUGUGCGAACCAUCUGAGAGCUUCCGAUGAUAGACACAAGCAUCAUAGUCACAUCUUGUGUAACCAUGCUGAAUCAUGAAGCUAUCAAACCGCUUGUACCACUGCCUUGGGGAUUGUUUCAAUCCAUAUAAAGACUUCUUUAAUAGACAGACAUGGUCUUCUUUACCAGGAACUGUAAAACCCUCUGGUUGACGCAUGUAGAUUGUUUCCUCGAGCUCACCAUGCAAGAACGCCGUUUUUACGUCAAGCUGCUCAAGUUCUAGAUCAGACUUGGCCACCAUGGCAAGUAAUAUACGAAUGGAAGAAUGCUUUACGACUGGGGAGAAAACUUCAUUGUAGUCAAUCCCCUCUUUCUGAGUGAAGCCUUUAGCAACCAAUCGUGCCUUGAAUCUAGUUGCUUCAACCCCUAGGAUGCCUUCCUUUUUCUUGAAGACCCAUUUGCAACCAACUAUCUUCUGGUUACUUGGCGGCUUAACCAACUCCCAAGUAUGGUUCUUGUGAAGAGAUUCUAUCUCCUCACUCAUAGCAAUUGCCCACUGUGCCGACUCAUCACACGUGACAGCCUCAUUAUAACUGGAAGGUUCUAUACCAAUGGACUCCGCCACACUGAGCGCGAAAGACACCAGAUUAGCGUAACGCGGAUUUGGUUUGAUUUGUCUCUUCGUUCUUCCAGUGGCAAUGCUAUAUGGUUUUUCUUGAGGUGACUCAUCUUCAUCGGAAUCUUGCACCUCAACUUGAUCAUCCUGGACUGAAGUACCUUCCGUAGGAAUUGGAGCGUCCACCUGACACUCCACCUGCUUCUCAACACCGUGAUCUCCCAUUCUAUCUGACUCCUCCUUUUCCCGGGAAUUUGUGGUGGAUCGAAGCAUGGAUGACUCAUCAAAAGUCACAUCUCUGCUGAUGAUGAACUUGGACGAAACCGGAUCAGGACACCACAACCUGUAUCCUUUCACCCCUUGGCCGUAUCCAAGAAAUAUGCAUUUCUUCGCCCUCGGUUUGAGUUUUCCCUCAUUUACAUGAGCAUACGCAGGGCAGCCAAACACUCUUAAACCAGAGUAAUCAGCAGGAGAACCAGACCAUACUUCCUCAGGAGUCUUCAGCUCAAUAGCUGUUGACGGAGAUCUGUUAACCAAAUAACAAGCAGUAUUAACAGCUUCAGCCCAAAAUUCUUCACCGAGCCCAGCAUUUGAUCGCAUGCAACGAGCUCGCUCCAAGAGAGUUCUAUUCAUGCGUUCUGCAACUCCAUUUUGUUGUGGUGUUCGACGAACAGUGCGGUGUCUCACUAUUCCUUCAUUCUUGCAGAACUCAUUGAAUUCACCUGAGCAAAACUCCAAGCCAUUAUCCGUCCGGAAUCGCUUGAUCUUCUUUCCUGUUUGAUUUUCGAUCAAAGCUUUAAAUUGCUUGAAGUUGAUGAGAACCUCAUACUUGCUCUUCAGAAAAUACACCCAAACCUUUCUCGAGUAAUCAUCGAUAAAGGUAAGCAGAUAUCUGUAACCACCUUUAGAAAUUGUCGGAGAAGGCCCCCAAAGGUCAGAAUGGAAGUAAUCCACUGUGCCUUUUGUCUUGUGAAUCCCAGUGCUGAACUUUACCCGAGUCUGCUUACCGAAGACGCAGUGCUCACAGAAAUUCAACUUUCCUGUACACUGCCCAGACAAUAAUCCUCGUUUGCUUAGCACCGAUAAGCCUCUCUCGCUCAUAUGCCCGAGCCGCAUAUGCCAUAACUUCGUGGUGUCAGAAUCUAGAUCAUCUGAUGAUGACACUCCCGCAACACCUGUAACCGAGGAACCAUCGAGGAAGUAAAGGCCCCGCUCCAAAUUACCACGUAUCACAGUCAAAGCACCCGAGAAUACCUUGAGAACUCCACCUUCAGCAGAGUACCGAAAGCCUUUCUUGUCCAAGGUACUCAAAGAGAUCAAAUUUUUCUUCAUUUCUGGAAUGUGCCGAACAUCAGUUAGAGUUCUAACAAUACCGUCAAACAUCUUUAUACGAACUGUGCCAAUCCCCAUGACUUGACAUGCGUGGUCAUUUCCCAUUAGUACUGAACCAGAAUGCUUCUCGUAUGUUGAGAAUGCAUCUUUCGAAGUACUUAUAUGAAAUGUAGCUCCCGUAUCAAGAAUCCAUCUCCCACCAGCGUAAGAGUCGGAUACUGCAAGAACGAUCUCGGCAUCACUUGAAGAAUCUGCAUCAGCUACAUUCGCACGAUCAUUUUGUUGCUCCUGUGAUUCUGAUUUCUCCUUCCUUUUCGGACAAUCUACCUUCAUGUGCCCGUACUUCUUACAGUAGUAGCACUGUAUUCUCUUCUUGGACUGCGAUCUAGGAUGGCUUUUACUUGAACUUCCACCCUUUGCCUUGGAUCUUCCUCGAGCAACCAAGCCUUCGCCUUCAUUGUUUUCGACCACCUUACCAGUGAUUUUCUUCCUCAACUCACUGGAACUUAAGGCAUUUUUCACCUCCUCUAGAGUCAGGUCAUCACGACCGUACAUCAUUGUAUCAACAAAAUUCUCAUACGAGGGAGGCAAAGAACACAAAACAAUUAUUGCUUGGUCCUCAUCAUCGAUUUUGUUAUCGAUAUUAUUCAAAUCCAUGAUAAUGGAAUUGAAUUUAUCCAGGUGCUGGGAAACAGGUGUACCUUCCUCCAUCUUCAGGGCAUAGAGUCUUUGCUUGAGGUAGAGCCGGUUCGUCAAUGACUUCGUCAUGUACUUGCUUUCUAACCGGAGCCACAAACCGGACGCGGUUUUCUCAUCCGCUACUUCUCGUAGCACUUCAUCUCCUAGACAUAGCAGAAUAGCACUAUGUGCUCUUUCUAGCAUGUCAUCCUUUUGCUCUUCCGAAAGCGUGCUUGGUAAUUUAUCUUUACCAGACAAUGCUUUUAGCAAUCCUUGUUGAACCAGCACUGCCCGCAUCUUGAUGCGCCAUAAACUGAAACUAUUUUUCCCGGUAAAUUUCUCGACAUCAUACUUAGUCGAUGAAACACUUGUAGCCAUAAUUUGGAACCUUUGAAUGAAUGAUAAUAUUUUCUUCCUGAUGUGAAAGAUCAGACAAAGCUGCAGUCACAGGGCAAUUCAGAAAAUAUUAUCACUCCUUCAACUACGCUCUGAUACCAAUUUGUUGCGGAAAGGAUCGAUUCGAGAACUCCGAUAUGACUACAAGUAAAUUGACCGAAACGAAAAAUAAAGUGAACACAAGGAUUUACGUGGUUCGGCUUUAAUGCCUACGUCCACGGGCAGAGGCGAAAAGAAAUUUCACUAUAACAAGAUGAAGAUUACAAGUGUUUUACACUCAAGACACAACCCGAGAACCUCACAACUCUCAACCCCUAUAGAAAACCCGAAAGCUAAAAUCCUAGCUUUCAAAGAACAAGCUUUGCUCUCUCUUGGUUUGGGAUGAUAAAUAUGGCUAAUGAACCUCUCUAUUUAUAAGAGAGUUCAAGGACAUAAUUGUCCAAAACUUUGGCAAAGAUUUGUGGUUGAAAAUGGACACCAACAACCAUCCACUAAUCCACUACCACCAACAACCCACUACCAACAACAACAAUCCACUACCAAUUUUAAGCCAUUUCUUAACAAUAAUUAUGGGUUUAAAAUUAAUAUAUUUAAACAUUUCACUGUUAUAAUUAUACUAAUAUUCUUAGAAUCCAAUAAUCGAAUCGAUCAUACCAUCUAUAUCUGAUUCAACCGAAUUAUAAACUAUAAAAACUAAGAGGAUUGUAAUGCUCCCUAUUAUAUAUAUGACUUAAAUGGUAAUUGUAUGACUCCUGAUUAAAGAUAAUAGAUAUUUUUAUAUAAUGUAAGCCAUAAUUCGUAAAUAAAUAUAUUACUAUAAUUGUUUAAAUCAAUUAAAUUUAAUAUCGGGUUUCUAAUGAUAAUAUAUUAGUUGGCAUGGCCGCAUUCUGGAUUUGUUUAAUCCAAUCUUGACAUUUUGGAUUUGUCGGCUUGUAAUUUCAAGAACCAGUCAUGAUUCCCAUAGUCGACAUUAUUUUCCAGUGUAAAGCUUCAAGAACUGCCAUCCUUGGCAUCUAAUACCUUGGUAUCCGAAAAUUAUUACUGAAUUUCAUACAAGAAACAAUUACCAUGGCUGAAUCCUUUGUAUUCGAGAUCGCCGCAAAAGUAUUGAAGAAACUAGGGAGUGCUACCUAUGAAAGAAUUAGCUUGGCAUGGGGUGUUCGAGGGGAGUUUGAAAAGCUUAAGCUGACCCUAGCUGCUAUCAGAG
rnacentral:lncRNA from 1 species